GACGAACGCUGGCGGCGUGCUUAACACAUGCAAGUCGAACGGAAAGGCCCUGCUUUUGUGGGGUGCUCGAGUGGCGAACGGGUGCGUAACACGUGAGUAACCUGCUCUUGACUUUGGGAUAGCUUCAGGAAGCUGGGGCUAAUACCGGAUAGGAGCUCCUGCUGCGUGGAGGGGGUUGGAAAGUUUCGGCGGUUGUGGCUGGACUCGCGGCUUAUCAGCUGGUUGGUGGGGUAGUGGAUGACCAAGGAUUUGGCGGGUAGCCGGCAUGAGAGGGUGACCGGCGACAUUGGUACUGAGGUACGGCCCAGACGCCUACGUGAGGCAGCAGUGGCGAGUAUUGCACAAUGGGAGCGCGCCUGAUGAGGAAACCCUGCGUUUGUGAUGACGGCCUUUUGGUUGUAAACAGCUUCAGCCUGUGACGAAGCGUGAGUGACGGUAAUGGGUAAAGAAGCACCGGCUAACUACGUG
rnacentral:rRNA from 1 species